AUUCCCAUAGCAAACAUUUAGACUCGUCAUAGCAGUGAAAGCACAGGUGUAACUAAUAACAUUAACGAUGCCUCUUCUAUUGAAGGCUCUUUGUAGGCUGACAGUAAGUCAUGACAGCGAGCCAGCAUGACAGACAUCUUUUAUCUGUUCCUUAAAUACCACUGUUGGAGCGUUAUCUUUUCACAAUUGCCUCCAGUAAAAACCUCAAAGGCCGUCUGCUGUCUUCAACCUUGACUGGAAGUGUGUUCAGCUACCCGCAUAGCUGUGCACCUACAUGCACGCUGAGUGAGUGAGGGCAGAAGAACAGUCUGAGAGGAUCCAUGAUGGGCGCCGUACCACAGUGCAGCAGAGAGGCCAGAACCACCACAGCAGAAGGAUGGUGAGCAGCAGCAGCAGGAUGAGCAGAGCGAUGGCCACAAAGGUCCCGUCAGACUAGAGGGGAGAAUAGAUACAGGACAUAAUAACCAGGAUGCUGGACGGCUCUACAGCCAGGAUCUCAAUGCAUGAUCGCUUCAGGAUCUGAGAGGGAAAAUAAUAACAUAAAAAACUGAACUAAAGGUACAGUAGGUUAAAUUAUGCGAUGAGGUAUUUAAUCAUCUUUCUGUGAUCUAACAGUGCCAUGCUUGUGUCUUUCACACCGAGUCAAUGACCCCUUGUAGCGCCUCAAAUCCAUCAUUCACCGGGAAGACGUGCUCCGCACUGUCAGCUAUCGUUGAAAGCUGUCGAGACAAUUUACUGAAUGAUUAACUGAUGUCUUAUAGUUUGGAUUGAUUCAUUCAUCUGCUGGUUAACUGGUUUAUUGGUUGACAUAUUGGUUUACCUGGGUUUCAUUGAAGUCUUUUACUCCCACACAGUACACAGUGGCGCCCAACUGGCGCGCUCUGCCGGCCUGAGACAUUACACAAACAACAAAUAAGCUUCAGUAAAAUGAUGAAUGAAUCAGUAAAUCACAAUGGGGAGAAAAGUGCAGUUGCACUGCUAUUUAUGGGUCGAAACUUUAAAGCUUUUUCCACUUGUGGACACGCUUCCAUCAGUGAUGUUGCUGCUAAUGUUAAUAUGCCGGCUGCUGGAACACAUCUGCUGUGACAUCACUGAGAGUCAUGUGACCACAAGCACAACAAACCUGGAAGCUUUUAACCCAAAGAGGACAACACAGCAACGUCUCUGCCGUGUGUAAUUCCAGCCCGUUAGUACAAAAAAGCAUAUGAAUGACACAAUGAUGCGCAAGGCAUUUGGCACGCAAUAAGAACGCCUUUCUUGUGUUCUUCUUGCUAUGUAGUCUGUACUGACA